rnacentral:rRNA from 1 species
GAAAUUUAAGAGUAUAUGGUGGAUGCCUAGACUAAAAAAGGCGACGAAAGACGUAGCAUGGCGGCGAUACGUUUCGGGGAGGUGCCAAGCAACCUUUGAUCCGGAAAUUUCUGAAUGGGGGAACCCUUCCAAGUAAACCUUGGAAACUCCUGCACUUAAGAUGCAUGGAGAGCAAACCCGGGGAAGUAAAACAUUUCAGUACCCGGUGGAAAAGAGAACAAUAGUUAUUUCCUUAGUAGCGGCGAGCGAAAAGGGAAGAGCCCAAACCGAGUGUCGCAAGACACAAGGGGUUGUAAGGUGACAAUGUAGAUUUAUCUAGAGAAGUUACAAAAUGUGUUAUUAGAUUAAACUUCUGGAAAGAAGUGCCACAGAUGGUGAUAGCCCAGUGGUCGAAAAUUUCACAUCUUCUUUAUUGUCAUUCUUGAGUAGCUCAAGACACGAAUAGCUUGAGUGAAUCUGCCAGCACUAACUGGUAAGGCUAAAUACUUUUUUAGAUCGAUAGUGAACUAGUACCGUGAGGGAAAGGUGAAAAGAACCCCGAUGAGGGGAGUGAAAUAGACCUGAAACCAUAUACUUACAAGGAGUCGGAGCGGAUGCCACUUUAUUCUUAAUCUAAUGAUUGAGACUAAAGUGGUGUCCGUCACGGCGUGCCUAUUGAAGAAUGAGCCAACGAGUUUAUCUAUGCUGCAGGCUAAGCUGUUAGAACAGUGGAGCCCUAGGGAAACCGAGUGUUAAUAGCGCGAAAAAAUUAUGUAGUCUAGAUAAGACCCGAAGCCAGGUGAGCUUGCCAUGAGCAGGGUGAAGUUUGUCUAACGACAGAUGGAGGCCCGAACCAAUAACCCGUGCAAUAGUUUUGGAUGACUUGUGGUAGGGAGUGAAAAGCUAAUCGAACCUGGUAAUAGCUGGUUCUCUCCGAAAUAGCUUUAGGGCUAGCGUCGUGUGUUCCUCUUGGGGGUAGAGCACUGGAAGGUUUCGACAGGGAGCAAUCUCGCGAAUUCUAUCAAACUCCGAAUACCAAGAGUUAAAAGCACGGCAGUUAGGCUACGGGGGCGAAGCUCCGUUAGCCAAAAGGGAAACAGCCCAGAUCUCAAAUUAAGGUCCCUAAAUUUAUGUUAAGUGCAAAACAAGGAGGUAAAAUUUCUCUGACAAUGAGGAUGUUGGCUUAGAAGCAGUCAUCAUUUAAAGAAAGCGUAACAGCUCACUCAUCUAGAGAUUUCGCACCGAAAAUAAUCGGGGCUAAACAUAAUACCGAAAUUGAGGAUUUCUAUUUUAUUUUAUGAAAUAGAAGUGGUAGGAGAGUGUUCCACAUUGCGCCGAAGCCAAAGGGGUGACCCAUGGUGGAGUAUGUGGAAGUAAGAAUGUUGGCACAAGUAACCGCAAGGAAGGUGAGAUCCCUUCCCGCCGAAAGAUCAAGGUUUCCUGGGCAACGGUGAUCGUCCCAGGGUUAGUCGGUCCUAAGGAGAUGACGAAAGUCGUAUUCGAUGGACAGCUGGUUAAUAUUCCAGCACUUCUGUUUUAUUCGAAGAUAGGACGGAGUGUAGUAUAUAAAGCUCAUUAUUGGAUUUGAGUUUGUUAGUAAGGGUGGCUUCUAGGAAAAUCCGGAAGCUGACGUAAAAGUAACACCCAAGCGAAGCAUAAAUGUUUCGGUUCGCCGAGGCAAAUUUUAUAAAGCACGCUUCCAAGAAAAGUAUCUAAGGUUAAUAAAAUAGAAUCCGUACCGCAAACCGACACAGGUGAUCAGGUCGAGUAGACCAAGGCGAACGAGUGAGAGGUCUUCAAGGAACUCGGCAAA